AAGUGCUUGGUACUUUUAACCAAGACCCCUUUCUUCAAUUCAUUAACUAUCUCAAAAAUGAAUCCUGCAAUUUUGUUCUGUUUUGCUAAUAAGAAAGAUAUAUUAAAUCGGUAUUGUGAUCACUUGUAAAAUGAGAGACAGUAAAUCUUAACCAUCUAAGAUGUUGAUUAAAUAUACAAUAAUACCAUUCUAAGCUAUUACGUGGUAAGCAAGACUUUAAUUAGUGGUAUGUAUCGUCUUCAUAUUUUAAAAUAAGGAGAUAUUAAAAAAAAAAGGAGAGUUAGCUGAUGUUAUUUCAAAUAUAAGGUAAAAAUAAAGAAGUGUUGGUCAUCUAAAAUUACUUUUAAAAA